ensembl:lncRNA MIR4307HG MIR4307 host gene
AGAGUCCACAUAUGUUCGGGGGAGGGACCCCAGAAGGCGGCUGACAGUAUUCCUUUAGCCAGAAAUCCCUUCAGGGAAGAGAAAGCUAAUCAGUGGCGACAAGCUCCCUUUGACUGCUCACUUCUCCAGUGAGGCUUCAAGCUUCUAGGCAUCAAGAUUAGUAAGGCUGUCUUCUGGGUGGGCCAGUUUGUUUCUCAGUGACACGAAAACAUUGCCUGGGGUGUGCACUGGGUGAGGCUUGUCAGUCAAGAUAUGAUUUUGCACUUCUGAUGGAUUUUCCAACUAUUCACUACAAGUUAAAGAUACUAGAAAUAUAUACUUCCCUAUAUCUCUUCUCCUAACCACAUUGAAUUGUUUUUAUUUGAACAGUUGCAUGCAGCAUGACAGCAGUACAUUAGGGUUGGAAAUACACUUAAAUGUUCAGUCGAUACAUCCAUCUGGUGCUUAAAUUCUAGCCACAGUUCCUGACUUUCAUCCAGCCUAGAUUUGAAUCCUUUCAGAAAGAGGAGACUCAUGUUCUUCCAAAGCAAGUAAUUCUGUCCAGCACACAAGCACGUGUACACAUAUUUUAACAUACACAUUCAUACACACAGACUGAGCCCUUGCCACUAAAUCACCUCUGUCCUUUUCUUGAGUCAUGUAGUUGAAGUUUGGAGCAUAGAUGUAGGUAGGAUAGGGCAAUUAUUGAUUCUUGGUGAGGUCCAACACCAUCUUCCAUACCAAGCUAUCGAGUAUUUUCCAGAAAAUAUUUCAAGCAGAAUAUACUUAUUUUCCAGUUUUGAAAACAACUAGAUUGCCCAUCUCCAUUUCUCUCUAUCAUCUACUGUAUUAUUCUAUGGACAACUGCCACCCUAAUAAGCUCAAAGGAAACCAUGAGAGACUGUCUAACUAGACUUUUUGCUUGAUUUCCUGGACCCAAGAGCAGGAGUGAGGAGCUUUCUCCUGGUCAAGAAGGGAAGCCAGAAGUCAAGGCCACAGAAGACACAGGAAACAUCAUUUCCAAAGUGGGAGACAAAGCUGUUAACAGGAAAUUAUUUGUAAAGUCAAGAGCCAAGCAAAACAGAAAAAGGACAAGAAAUCUAUCACCUGUGGGUAUGAAUGGUUCUAGGGAAGUCUGUUGACAAUUGGAGGGUCUCAAAGGCGCUUUAUGGUACUUAUUUUAUGACCCUGAGUCUGGAGUCUGAUGAAUUAAAGAGGAAAUUCUGCUCUGGGCAACAUUUAAGAGAUAGUAUCUCCAGGCAGUAACUUUCGUAUUAACUCUCAUAAGAUUGAUGCCAUUCUGUCAUCUAAAGUGUGGACAAAAGUAGCAUUAAAGCAAAAUGAAAGGA